rnacentral:tRNA from 1 species
GCGGAUGUGGCGUAAUUGGUAGCCGCGCUAGACUUAGGAUCUAGUGUUGAAAGACGUGAGAGUUCGAGUCUCUCCAUCCGUACCA